rnacentral:rRNA from 1 species
GACGAACGCUGGCGGCGUGCUUAACACAUGCAAGUCGAACGGAAAGGCCCUGCUUUUGUGGGGUGCUCGAGUGGCGAACGGGUGAGUAACACGUGAGUAACCUGCCCUUGACUUUGGGAUAACUUCAGGAAACUGGGGCUAAUACCGGAUAGGAGCUCCUGCUGCAUGGUGGGGGUUGGAAAGUUUCGGCGGUUGGGGAUGGACUCGCGGCUUAUCAGCUUGUUGGUGGGGUAGUGGCUUACCAAGGCUUUGACGGGUAGCCGGCCUGAGAGGGUGACCGGCCGCAUUGGGACUGAGAUACGGCCCAGACUCCUACGGGAGGCAGCAGUGGGGAAUAUUGCACAAUGGGCGGAAGCCUGAUGCAGCAACGCCGCGUGCGGGAUGACGGCCUUCGGGUUGUAAACCGCUUUCGCCUGUGACGAAGCGUGAGUGACGGUAAUGUGUAAAGAAGCACCGGCUAACUACGUG